AUGACCAAUGAACUCUUCUACUUCCUCUUCUUUUGCCUCUUAUGUCUUCAUCUGCCUUCAAGAAAUUCAGGAUGCAAUGUGGCCCAGAAAGUCACUCAGGUCCAGUCAACUGCAAGCAGUCAGUAUGGAGAAGUCACCCUGGACUGUUCAUAUGAGACAAGUUAUUACUAUUACCAAUUCAUUUGGUAUAAGCAGCUUGUUACUGGAGAGAUGAUUUUCCUUAUUAGCCAACUUUCUUCUUCUACUGAGAAUGAGAGGAAUGGCCGCUAUUUUGUCACAUGGCAGAAAUCAGCCAACUCCAUCAGCCUUGUCAUUUCAGCCUCACAGCUAGAAGAUUCAGGGACAUAUUUCUGUGCGCUCCGAGAAUUGACCCACAGUGUUUGAAGUGACAGCAGAAGCUGAACAAAAACUGGAGCUCCUUAAGAGUUGCCCACCGCAGGAGCCCAGCUGAGAAGCA